rnacentral:rRNA from 1 species
GACAGAGGGUGCAAACGUUGCUCGGAAUUACUGGGCGUAAAGCGCGUGUAGGCGGACCACCAAGUCGGACGUGAAAGCCCUGAGCUCAACUCAGGAACUGCAUCCGAAACUGGCGGUCUGGAGUAGUGGAGAGGAAAGCAGAAUUCCUGGUGUAGAGGUGAAAUUCGUAGAUAUCAGGAAGAACACCAAUGGCGAAAGCAGCUUUCUGGGACGGUACUGACGCUGAGACGCGAAAGCGUGGGGAGCGAACAGG